rnacentral:lncRNA from 1 species
GUAGGUUCAUCAUUUAGUUUACAAAACUCCUUCCAAAAAAAACAAAAAUCACCCUUCCCUUCUCUUUCAGCCCCAUGUCCGGCCAUGGGCUCCGGUUACCGGCCGUCAUGCUGACCGCCGACCACCGGCGAUGGCGCCACCGUACGCGGUGGUCGGAGAGUUCAAAACUUCCCCCGUUGAACCCCCUUUUCACGUAGACAAGAUUUAGGACUUGAAAAACCAAAAACUAAACCCCAAACUUCUUAAAACCACAAAGAUUCUUCAACCUUUGGCUUCCUCUGUCGAAGUUUUAACCGGAUCUCUAGAGAUCCGCCGGCUUUCAGACUAGAGAAGCGUAUGCCCAGGGUACCAACGCCAAAUACGGGUAAAAAUCUUCCCUUUUUAUAUAUUUGUAUAUAGAUUCGAAAUAAAUACAUAAAAUAAAUGAUAAAGAUAGGAAAUGAAAAAAAUGAAACCUUUUGAAAACGUUUCUUUGAUUAAUCUCUGUGUUCAUAACCCUUUCUUUUUGAUUUUUCUCUCUUUCAAAAGUCCCCCUUUACAUUCGAUUCUUCCCCCCCGUUACAAUCAGUUUCAUUUCGGCUUUAUAGUCGAUUCCCAUAUUAACAUAUUAUUAUUUUAUUCUCUGCUACUGGUUGUGCUUCUUGCUGCCAUUUUCCUCUUUUCCAAAUGUUUGCAGGUCAUGGGAGUGUCAGAGGCAUGGAAGGUCGGUGAUUGGCGCCCCGAGCAGUGGUGGCGCGCGUGAGAAGGUUGGUGGCUGAAGGAAAUUGGGCCUGCUGUUUUUUCUUUUCUUUUUUUUUUUUGUAAAAUGGACUUUGUUUUGGGACUUUUAUAUUUUGGAAUUAAUUUAGGUUUUUAUUUCUUGUUGGCCAGGCCAAAAUUGGCUAUAACAAUUAGGUUUUGGACUACUCGAUUCUUAGAGUUACGUUGAAACCAGAUUAGGUGCGCAACAAGAAACAUAAAAAUCACGAAUAGCCAAAGCCGAAAAAUAACACUGUCAAUGCCUUACGGUAGUGUGCUAGGCCGUGUGCUGGACCAUAUGUGACAAACGGUCUGGAUUAUUUUGGGUCGUGUGGGCCCAAAAUUCUAUAAUUUUCAAUAGUGUCGUACACGAAGUCUCGUUCAACUGUGGGCCUUUCGUAAGAGUGGUAUGUGAGUUUAUGUAAUGUAAAACAUGAAAUCUGGAUAUCUGUUAGUGUAGUUUCAGCUAUCUGUAAAAGUAAUUAAGAUGUUGAAUGAUUAAUAAAUUUGAAUAUUUAUGAUAAACAUGUGGUUUGAAUCUGAUAUGUUGUGCAUGCAAAACAAUGGGUAUAAUUUCUGCUCUGAAUUUGUAUGAUAUUUAUUUUAUUCUGUAUCUGCAUCUGGGUUGGGUUGUAAAUGUCAUGUGGAGGAAGUAAUUUUGUAAAAAGGGCGAUAAAUCGUCUAUUGCUCCAGUAGCUCAGCUGUGAUUUUUUUUGUAAAGUGUCCUGGAGACACUAAAUGGCGUGUAGGGAUGGAUGGGUGUUUUAUACCCAUGUGGUGUGUUGGGAUGGUCAAGGAUGGUGUGUAGCGGAUAGGGGUAGGAUUACAUGUUGUAUUUAUUCUAUUCUGUUAUAAAUCUAUUUCUAAUAAAUCUGUCUGAUAUGCAUUUAGCUGUUUUAAUUUAUUCGUUAUACGCUGAGUUUCAA